rnacentral:rRNA from 1 species
GACGAACGCUGGCGGCGUGCUUAACACAUGCAAGUCGAGCGAGGUCCAACCGGUGGCAACACCGGGGAAGACCGAGCGGCGAACGGGUGAGUAACACGUGAGCAACCUGUCCCGAAGACCGGGAUAACACCGGGAAACCGGUGCUAAUACCGGAUGUCCCCACCGAGCCGCAUGACUCGGUGAGGAAAUGGAUUCCGCUUCGGGAGGGGCUCGCGGGCUAUCAGCUUGUUGGUGGGGUGACGGCCUACCAAGGCGACGACGGCUAGCUGGUCUGAGAGGACGACCAGCCACACUGGGACUGAGACACGGCCCAGACUCCUACGGGAGGCAGCAGUGGGGAAUCUUGCGCAAUGGGCGAAAGCCUGACGCAGCAACGCUGCGUGGGGGAUGAAGGCUCUCGGGUUGUAAACCCCUUUCAGCAGGGACGAAAUUGACGGUACCUGCAGAAGAAGCCCCGGCCAACUACGUGCCAGCAGCCGCGGUAAUACGUAGGGGCGAGCGUGUCCGGAUUAUU